AAGUCUGCACCCAACAUUGGUAAAGGCAGUGAGCUCCCCAUGCUAAUGGUAUCACUGGCCUGGGGAGGAGAUGCAAAAUAAAGCAGUACAAUAUGAUAAGAAAACUCAAAGAACAUGGAAGAAGAAGACCUGGGCUUUUCUACAUGAUCUUGGGAGAUGCAGGGACCCCAGCUAGUCUGGUCUAACAGAAAGAACACUAAAUUUGAAGUUGUAAAACCUAUAUUCAAAUCCCAAUCCUUCCACUUCCUUUUGGUGAAACUUUGGAGAACUCUUCAGCCUGGAAGAUUACUUCAGCUCUGCCCAAGGACGUGUGACUGCGAACAGCUCUCAGUGAUCUCCACUCCAUUCUGGGAAUGUCUAACUUUGAGGGCAGCUUGUUAACUCAGAGGAUAUAGAGCACUGGGCAUGGAGUCAGGAAGACCUGAAUUC